rnacentral:tRNA from 1 species
UGACCAAGUCACUGUCCCUGGACGGCAGGCCCUACGGCAUCGCGGUCGGCCAGAUCGACAUCGGCAACGCGGCG